AUUACGGUUGAGGUCUGUCAAUAAUCCUCUAAUCUCUUCCAUUUUAGUUUUGAACAGUACAAGAAGUGUACGUAUAAAUUCGUUAUUAUUAGAAGGAUCGUCUAGUUUUUUUAAACUAGCCUUCUUUUAAUAAACCUGAAAUGCGGGCUAAGUGGCGUAAGAAGCGUAUGCGAAGGCUAAAAAGAAAGCGCAGGAAGAUGCGUGCGAGAUCAAAGUAGAUCAUGAAAUUUCAUUUUCCCAUUUAUUUUCAGAAACUGAAGAUUCUUGAAGUGAAAUUUCAUUUGUUAGAAAAACUUCAAAAUUGGAUCAUCAUUCAUCUUUUUUAUAAAUUGACGACUUGAUGGAACGAACCCAAAAAAAUAAUAAAAUUUUGAAAAAAUUGAAAG